UAUUUACACACUCACACUGACGCACACUAUUUUCCUUUUUAUUUUUGUGUAACAACAUAGAUAUCUAUUCUUUUUAGGUGUCACACAUGUAGAAGAAAUAAUUCCAAAAUGUAAGACCUAAUAAUAUAGAAAUCAAAUACGAGACUGAAAUACGAUUACAAGUAGAUAUUCCAACAUUUAAAUUACUCAAACAUCAAUGACAUAUCGUCACCCCAUCAACAAAACUUCAAUAACUUUCUAAUAACUUAUCUACAAUUUCAAUUUGUUCACCACAACAGGCAGCACAAAAUGCAUCUUACGUCGUCGUUAUUUCAUGUCAUAUUCCACUUGGACUUCGCCCGCUGCACGAAUUGCACAUGGUUAUUAAAAGCGCAUAUGAAGAGCGAUAUUAUCAGAAAUGAAAUGACAGAAAUGGGAUUUACUCUUUAGAUGCACUCCUAAGUUUGCUUGAGCAUCAGCUUCGGUGUUGCAUUCCUGACAAUGUAAAGUGUAGACUCAUUAGCUUUAUAACGAUAGCUUAUAAAUAUAGAGUAGCACGUGCCCUUGAAGGAAAAUGUUACAACAGGAAAAGACAUGCGUUGUUUGAAUCAUGGAUAUAUCAAGAACGAAUGAAUCUACAAGCACGAUUCUUUCCUUACAGCAACAUACUUGGAUAAAUUACACAUCAACAAAGAAUAGAAUUAGAUUUAUGAAACCAACUCUAGCCACAUAAAUUGGUCGUACCUUGUAAGCUGAAUUUGGCAAUUAGAAAUCAUGUAUUUUCUUGCAUUAAAGAGUUAUGGAAGGGAUUGUUGUUUCAACUUACUCUGUCGAUAUGCUGUAUCUGGAAAGACAAAAUUGGUCUUUAAGCUCUUUAGCUAUCUUACACAAUUCAGUCAUAUUCUGUGUUUUGGUUCUCCAUUGACCUUGAACCUGCCAUUGAGAUAAAUUAGUAGGCAAAGAAAAAUGAUAGUUGUUCAGUGAAUAGCUAUAUAAUCAAUAAAAGGACUAGUUCAAGACUUCGCAUGCAACGGCUGUUGUGGAGGGAUUGUAACUCACUGAUACAGUAGUAUUAGUAGAUCAAGUCCUUU
rnacentral:lncRNA from 1 species